UACAGAGGGUGCGAGCGUUGUUCGGAAUUAUUGGGCGUAAAGGGCGCGUAGGCGGUGCGGUAAGUCACCUGUGAAAUCUCCCGGCUCAACCGGGAGCUUGCAGGCGAAACUGCCGUGCUGGAGUGUGGGAGAGGUGCGUGGAAUUCCCGGUGUAGCGGUGAAAUGCGUAGAUAUCGGGAAGGAACACCUGUGGCGAAAGCGGCGCACUGGACCACAACUGACGCUGAGGCGCGAAAGCUAGGGGAGCAAACAGG
rnacentral:rRNA from 1 species